rnacentral:rRNA from 1 species
UACGGAAGGCAGCAGGGGGAAUAUUGCACAAUGGGCGAAAGCCUGAUGCAGCUAUGCCGCGUGUAUGAAGAAGGCCUUAGGGUUGUAAAGUACUUUCAUCGGGGAGGAAAAACAAAACUAAUAAUUUUAUUUCUUGACGUUACCCGAAAAAGAAGCACCGGCUAACUCCGUGCCAGCAGCCGCGGUAAUACGGAGGGUGCUAGCGUUAAUCAGAAUUACUGGGCGUAAAGAGCACGUAGGUGGUUUUUUUAAGUCAGAUGUGAAAUCCCUGGGCUUAACCUAGGAACUGCAUUUUGAAACUGAAAUACUAGAGUAUCGUAGAGGGAGGUAGAAUUCUAGGUGUAGCGGUGAAAUGCGUAGAUAUCUGGAGGAAUACCUGUGGCGAAAGCGGCCUCCUAAACGAAUACUGACACUGAGGGUGCGAAAGCGUGGGGAGCAAACAGGGAUUAGAUACC